rnacentral:rRNA from 1 species
UACGUAGGUGGCAAGCGUUAUCCGGAAUUAUUGGGCGUAAAGCGCGCGCAGGUGGUUUCUUAAGUCUGAUGUGAAAGCCCACGGCUCAACCGUGGAGGGUCAUUGGAAACUGGGAGACUUGAGUGCAGAAGAGGAAAGUGGAAUUCCAUGUGUAGCGGUGAAAUGCGUAGAGAUGUGGAGGAACACCAGUGGCGAAGGCGGGUCUCUGGGCAUCUCCUGACGCUGAGGCGCGAAAGCGUGGGGAGCAAACGGG